UGGGGAAUUUUGGACAAUGGGCGAAAGCCUGAUCCAGCAAUGCCGCGUGUGUGAAGAAGGCCUUCGGGUUGUAAAGCACUUUUGUCCGGAAAGAAAUCCUUGGCUCUAAUACAGUCGGGGGAUGACGGUACCGGAAGAAUAAGCACCGGCUAACUACGUGCCAGCAGCCGCGGUAAUACGUAGGGUGCAAGCGUUAAUCGGAAUUACUGGGCGUAAAGCGUGCGCAGGCGGUUUGCUAAGACCGAUGUGAAAUCCCCGGGCUCAACCUGGGAACUGCAUUGGUGACUGGCAGGCUAGAGUAUGGCAGAGGGGGGUAGAAUUCCACGUGUAGCAGUGAAAUGCGUAGAGAUGUGGAGGAAUACCGAUGGCGAAGGCAGCCCCCUGGGCCAAUACUGACGCUCAUGCACGAAAGCGUGGGGAGCAAACAGGAUUAGAUACCCUGGUAGUCCACGCCCUAAACGAUGUCAACUAGUUGUUGGGGGAUUCAUUUCCUUAGUAACGUAGCUAACGCGUGAAGUUGACCGCCUGGGGAGUACGGUCGCAAGAUUAAAACUCAAAUGAAUUGACGGGGUCAUACUGUUUCCU
rnacentral:rRNA from 1 species